rnacentral:rRNA from 1 species
GCCAGACUCCUACGGGAGGCAGCAGCGGGGAAUAUCGCACAAUGGGGGGAACCCUGAUGCAGCGACGCCGCGUGGGUGAAGGAGUACUUCGGUACGUAAAGCCCUAUCAGCAGGAAAGAAAAUGACGGUACCUGACUAAGAAGCCCCGGCUAACUACGUGCCAGCAGCCGCGGUAAUACGUAGGGGGCGAGCGUUAUCCGGAAUUACUGGGUGUAAAGGGAGCGUAGACGGCGAGGUAAGCCUGAAGUGGAAGCCCGCGGCCCAACCGCGGAACUGCUUUGGGAACUGUUUUGCUGGAGUAUGGGAGGGGUAAGCGGAAUUCCUGGUGUAGCGGUGAAAUGCGUAGAUAUCAGGAGGAACACCGGUGGCGAAGGCGGCUUACUGGACCAUAACUGACGUUGAGGCUCGAAAGCGUGGGGAGCAAACAGGAUUAGAUACCCUAGUAG